rnacentral:rRNA from 1 species
GACGAACGCCGGCGGCGUGCUUAACACAUGCAAGUCGAACGGAAAGGCCCUGCUUUUGUGGGGUGCUCGAGUGGCGAACGGGUGAGUAACACGUGAGUAACCUGCCCUUGACUUUGGGAUAACUUCAGGAAACUGGGGCUAAUACCGGAUAGGAGCUCCUGCUGCAUGGUGGGGGUUGGAAAGUUUCGGCGGUUGGGGAUGGACUCGCGGCUCAUCAGCUUGUUGGUGGGGUAGUGGCUUACCAAGGCUUUGACGGGUAGCCGGCCUGAGAGGGUGACCGGCCACAUUGGGACUGAGAUACGGCCCAGACUCCUACGGGAGGCAGCAGUGGGGAAUAUUGCACAAUGGGCGGAAGCCUGAUGCAGCAACGCCGCGUGCGGGAUGACGGCCUUCGGGUUGUAAACCGCUUUCGCCUGUGACGAAGCGUGAGUGACGGUAAUGGGUAAAGAAGCACCGGCUAACUACGUG